GAGCAGCUGGCGCCCCGCGCCGCGUGCGCCCGUCCUCGCCCCGGGCCGCGUGCCGGCCCCGCGCAGCGCCUCCUGCCUCCUCCCCGGCCCGGGCAGCGCAGAGUGGGCUGCCGAGCCCUUCGUAUUUAUACUUCCUGCCCGGCUUUGACAUAAGAGGGGCAGAGGAAUAGAAAGAAGAGCCUCCUCUUUCUCUACCCCAAAUAAGUCCAAACCUGACCAACCAGAGCAGAAAAGUGGCCCCAUUUCUUCAGGGCUAUUGUGACAUUUCAAGCAUGUGUCUUUGUUGUCUUGAAGGCGUCUUGUGUUUGCCGUUUCCCAGAAUAAAACUGAUAUUCAGUGGCGGUCACGGCCUUUACUUUCCCCUUCUUUGUCUUCUGUGAGCAGCUGGCAUGGUGGCAUCUGCUGUGUCCGCAUCUUCCCUCCUAAGUGUAUGUACUAAUGGACACAAGUGAUAGACUUGGGCAGACAGGAAGACCUGGACUGUCGUCAGACAGUGGGGAAGGGUCUGGAAUUGCCUUUUUUUGGUUAGAAAUGCCACCCAAAGACAGCCAUUGUGGAAAUUCCCUUUGGAGAAAGAAGAUAGUAAACUCUGGGCUUUAUCUUGCUUCAUUUCAUCAACAACCACAACAGAGAUGACGGCAAACUGCUGCGGGCUGGUUCACUGCCUCCUGAAUCUCCUGGCUCUUCUCUCCCUCCUGGAGUCACCCUUGCCCAGUGGCUCUGCCUUGCUGGUGACUUCCAAGGGACUCCUGGCGUUUGCAAUGCAACCACAAGGUGUCAGGCUUCCCUUAACUAUGCUGAGCUCCAGGGCCGGAGUCAAGGUGGGUGGCUUGUAGCAGAAGAAGGGCAGAUGAAGCCAGUUGGCAAAAGGAGCACCAGAAUGCCCCUGAUGAUCCCAGGAAAGGAGCACCCGACUUACAUUUGCUACCUUACCACUGUCUUGCCCCAAGUCGGCAAAUGAUGGUCUAGGACUAAAUCCUGAGCUCUGUCUCUCUUUGUACAAUCUGCAAGCUAAAAAUGGCUUUUACAUUUUAAGUGGCAAAUUAAAAAAUUAGAAAGAUGAUCAAUGUUCAUGACACUAGAAAGCAGUAUGAGAUACAGAUUGCACUGUGCAUAGACUGUGUACUGGACCACAGUGACCACAGCUGUUCAUUGGCGUGUUGGCUGAUUUUGAGCUACUUGAGAGCAGGCACCAGUGAGCCUAAAAUAUUUACUGUUUGACUGUGUGCAAAUAAAAAGUUGGUAAGUUUUUGAACUAACUUGAAUUCAUCAAAUUGGAGUGUGAGAGUCUUUAGAAUCAGUAUAUGGGACUAUAAUUUUUUUCCUUGAGACAGAGUCUAGCUAUGUAGUCCAGGCUGGUCUUGAACUCAUGGUGAUCCUCCUGCCUCAACCUCCUGAGUGCUGAGAUUACAGGUGUGCCACCACACCCAGUGAGUGUAUAAGAUUCUUAUAGGUAGCUCAAAGAAAAUCUAUAGGAGCAAUUACAAAGAGGGAAUUGUGUGGAAAGUAAAAUAUCUUUGUUUUGUUUUACUUCUGAAUCUAAGCAGUAACUCAUUAAUUAGUCUUUAAAUCAUUAAAGGACAUUUACAUUUAUGCUGUUUAUGCUGUAGACUUAUGGGGAAUUUAUAUAAGUUGUAAUGAAUCCGUACCUGGUUGUUUUCUAAUUUAUAACUAGAGUUUUACAUAGUGCAUAUUGCAAAGUUUUUGUAUUUAUUGAAUUAGGUGUUCUCUAAAAUUCUCGACUCUUUAAAAUUGGAGGAAACGUGGUCAUCUGACCUAUUUCGACUUACUUUUGUGGAGGAGAAGGAGAAAGUACAUUUCAGUGACUUCCCAAAGUUGUACAUGAAGGAUGUUUUCCCUCAAAUACUGCCACUUGCCAUGGGAAAUAAACUGUUCUGCUUUAA